GAAAAGCCAAUUCAAUUAUUUCGCUCGCGCUUGCUUCUUUUUCACAGCGAAAAAAUCGCGCGCCACGGACUACGAUCGCAAUUGUGCCAGGCGCGAUUGUUCCGUUUUGAGAAACGUUCGUUGCACGCCACCGAUCGAUCGUACCAAGAGCGUGUGCCUCGUGAUUUGCCGUAAACACGGCUCAAAGGAGGAUCUUUCUGUUCGUACGCGCGGCGGUUAAACGCAAUACGCGCGUGAAAACUUGCCACGACACGUGUUCAGAUAUUUCCGCGAGCCAGCGUACAUAGCUUAACGAGAAACGAAAUAAGACGUUAAGUUGUUUCGCGAGAGUGCGAGGAACGCGAAUGGAAGUUACCUAACGAUGCGGUCAUCCCGCUUGUAAAUUAAAAUUCAGCGCUGCGCACCGACGAAGAUGGCCACCGCAACAUCUGCGAUAGCCAGAAAGGGCCGGGAAGCUCGUACAAAUGCGACGGCAAACCGCAUUCUUAAUUAUAAAACUCGACUGCUACUCGCAGUUUCCGCCACGCUUACCCUCCAGAGAGAGAAAGAGAGAGAGAGAGAGUAAAGCUGGCUUUCACGAACCUGAUUGCGCUGCACGGUUAACAGAGGCGGGAUGAAAUUUGCAAACUACACUUUCGUCUUUCGUUAGGACCGAGAAACGUGUUAUUUCGCGUGCUGUGCGAGACCCGGUUAAAUCGAAGUAAACGGUGCAGUUUGACGAUGCAAAAUAGCAGUUUCGCGAGCAUCUCUGCCCACCGGGCAACUCUAUAAUGCCUUUGCACGUUGUCCUUUCUGUCGACCAAGGGCCACGAUAUUGCCCCUGUGUUUGGCUACCUUGUGGGGCAGCUGGAAAUUUUCAUGUCUUCAUACCUGUCCACUAACUUUCAGUUCUCUCGGUUAUACAAUGCUAAACACUUGACCGGCUGGAGACGCAAAUUCGCGCUUUGCAUACUUCAUGCGGUAUCAUCCUGCAGCAACGAAACCGCCAUCGAUACGUGUUAGAUGUAACAUUGGUCGGUCAGAAAGUUCAUUGCGAUUUUUAAGGAAUUUCAUAAAACAGUAAACUUUGUUUAAUACCUGUGUAAUCGGCAUUAAAGUUGAAAGAACUCCAGAUUCUGGGAGAAAAUAAUUACAGGCGUAAUUGCUUGGGGAACAUUAACCGGAAAAAUAAUUUGCGGCGUAUUAACACGGAAGAGAUUCUCCUUUAUCCGGUUGAGGCGGCGUAAGAGGACGAAAAUGCCGGCAGACGCUUGUAACAGAUUAUCCACGAAAGCGAGUGUUUUUUACUCGACCAGCCGUUGAUGAAUCGCGGGCAUUAACUAUAUCCGCGGCGGGAAUGAAAGGAGGCGCAAGAAUGAACGCGUACUCUUAAUGCAGCCGAUAGAACGCCGACGACAAACAAAAAUGGACGUGGUUUUAUUCCGAGAUACAGAUUGCUCGGCUUUUUCUCGCCUGUUGUAAAAACGCAUUAAGCAACGUUUUAGCCGCGAGUAGGAACACGAAAACAACAUUUUCCAUAAUUACAGCUUCGGCCUCGCCUCGGCCUCCGAGACGAUCAUUUAUGUAUAUAACCGCGCGAUAAUUUUGACCCAGCGAGUCGAACAACGAACAGUGGAAAGCUCGGUCGAUCAACGUCCAAUGGAAACUUUUUAAAUCGUGUGUACACUGAGGAAUUUCUCAAGCUCGAUCAACGAUAGCACAGAAACAGCCAAAUAUGAAAUAUAUCUAUUAUUUAUAUUGGAAUAUAUCAACUAUUUUGUUGUUCGAGUGUCGCGCGUUCGAUUUAAUACGAUCGAACGCGAGCUUUGAUUCCGAUUAUUUAAAAGGAAAAAAGCACAGCCAGGAAUAAUCUCUCAAGCUCUAUCUGUAUAGCAAAGGAAAGUAGUCACAUAUCUAUAUUCCGUUAUCCAAUAAAAUGUCACACGAUCGAUUUAAUACGAUCGAAUUCGAGUUUCCGAUUAUUUAAAAGGAAAAGAGGACAGCAAGGAAUCUCUCAAGCUGCAUUUGUAGUAGCAAAGGAAAGAAGCCAAAUAUGACAUACCAUUUUGCUAUCCGAGUGUCGUACGAUUCAUUUGACGCAAUUAAACUCGAGUUUUUACUCCGAUUAUUUAAAUGAAAGAAAAGGACAGCUUUGUUCGUAUUAGAAAAAGACUUCUUAGGGAGAACACAUAUUCCCGGAAAAGAAAAUUAGAGUUCAUUCUUAUAAAGUAAUGCUUUUCGGGAAUACACGGGUGCUACGAAGCGACGUGUGUUUUCUUUUUCAAAAAGACUUAUUUCCCUUAAAGAGGAAACUUCUGGAAACAUGAAUUCUCGAAAGAGGAAUUAACUUUGUUCGCUGCGAUGAAUUUAACAGCAGAUGGUCUUUGUAAGUACCUAUCGUAAGCUUGAGAUAAUUGUCGAAACGUCUUGACCGGAAACACCGCUCCUCGAUCGAUGCGAGACUUUUCAUUUUAAUCAUGGACAGUUAAUUAGCACGAUUGCAUUAAUGCUUCUCGUCGCGUUGCAUAGGAUCGAUAAAGAAUGAGGCGACGUAGAUUGCUUCGCUGUCGAGCAUCGCCCGGACUCCACCUAUUCUCGUAGUCGUUGAGCAACAAGAAAUAUUAUUACAUUUCCAUCGAGUUAAUCGACGUGCCACUCACGAUCGCGGAAAGUAAUCUUCUUUUUUGAAGGCAUUCGCAGCGCAGAUCGACCUGCUUGCGAGUUCCUUGAAAUUCUGACGACACGUUAUUCGGUGCAUUAUAUUUGCCAUCAAUGACAACCUCUUCACGUUGAAACCUGCAUGUCGAUCGAAUCCUGAUCACCGACUAACAGCAGAUCCAAUCCCUGCACCGAUACGAGUGUCCUUCGCCGAUAUCGAACUACGUUCAUUCGAAGAUGCAUCGCGAGACCUAAGCGUCGAUGCAUACGUCGCGUAAUAAUUCAAAGACUUAUCGAAGAAAUGUCGAUUUCAAAACAGAAGGUCGAUCUCUUUAUUUGUACACGCUUGUACAAUGUUUCGCAACGACAGACUUUAGGUCUGAUCGAGGGUGGAAUAUUGCAGACUCACUCGCGUGAUUUCGGGAGGAGUAUUUAUAUGCCGUUAUUUGUCGGAGUAGGAGAAAGACUUUGGUCGUACGGAUGUGUUAUAUGGUUGGAUGUAACUCUGCACUUCGGUUGUACGGACGUAUCGUGUUUAGGAUGACUGGACGUUACCCUGGCGGUGACUCAAGAUAAGGCGGUUGGGAUUACCUAUCUUAUCUCAUAGUGAGGCAAAUUUACCCCGUGACACGUACGUUAGACGCGUAUAUAAGCUUCUAACGAAAGAAGCAGAGAUAUACCGUGAAAUACGGUCCAUCCAGACGCAACAGCGUCGCUGAUCACCUCACGCUGGAUGCAACUUGACACGCAGAAAAAAUUUCAUGGCACAAGUUUACGGAUACGUCAAAUGAUUUCAUUGUCUUACAAGUCAGAAAAUUAACCAGCCCUUAACCAUCAUCUUGCGCGUCUUCCCUUUUCAAAUCUCUUCGCCUAUUUGUAGGCGAUUGCCUUCGUAACGUUUCAUCCAUAUUUCUCUCGUAAUCAAUCGCUUGGUUCGUGCGUACGCAAAUAAUUUAUUAUUAACGCGUUGUUCCGCGAAGGGAUCGUCGGACAUUUUCAAGACGCUUGACGGCAUGGACAUACCAAAGACGUUGCCAUGAACGAACUUAACGUCACGUUUAAUCUGUUUAUACGUAAGACUUUAAUCGCAUUCUUCGCCCGGUAUACUGGAUCGUAACAGGGUUGCUGCGAUGAUAGUAAAAAAAUUAUUGUACCCCGUAGAUACGUAGAUUCGCCUCUUUGUCUGUCCACGUAAGCGCGUCUGACGCUUAUAGGAAAUCUCACCUUAAGAGGAUUCUCCACAUUCCUGCGACAUUGCGUUCGAUCCGCUUUGCAGCGGCAUUUAAACGGGACUUGGGUGGAACGCGCGCAAGGCCGAACAGCAGAUCAAAGAGAGUGUUUGACGGCGGUAGCUGAACCCUGGCACGGACUUCGGCGCGCCAUUUUCGACGCCAGUUACAAUUUCAAAAUUUUAAUUAACCAGCAUCCCUCGAGACUCCUGUGCGCUUCGUUAAAAGGGGCACGAAGCCAACGGGGUAAAUUGCCAAGAUGCGCACAGUAAGGUAUUCGAACGAGCAUUAGGAAAAAGGAUGGAAAAUGCACACAACGUGCAGUUUUCCUGAAACUUGGUAUCAGGAACUUCGUGUCGAGGAAAAUUUGUUCGCUUGAACCUCAAUCCGAUUCGAUCGAAACAUCUUUGCUCCGCUGUUUGACACCGCGCACGGUGACGUUUCAAUUCAAAACUAUGUUUUCCCACUUUUCCCUAAGUGUCGUAUAAAACGGCCGUAUCUGACCAAAGGGGGAUGUUGGUUAGACGAUUAUAACUGCACGACCAUGUUGCGUUUGUAAGGAAUAUGCACCGCAUACAAAACGCCCCGUAAUUAGCGAUACAACUGCGAAGAGCAUGAUCCUACAGGGAAGAAGCAAACAGAACGAGCAGAAUUUUUAGUUUAUCGCGCUUAGUUUGGCUUUGGAGGAAAUCGAGUUUGAGGAUUUUGCUGUUUCAUUUCAGCAUGGAUACAGAUGUUCUUUCGCUUGCAUUUGCAUGCAACAAGAGAAUCUAAUUACCAACGAUCUUUGACGUUGAGGUAACGUUAAAACUAAAUGAGAAAAGGAAACUGAAGAAUAAUUGAAUAAGGAAUCGAAUAAAGGAGAAGACGUUUUGAGAACGUAGGGCGAAAUUUUAUUCAUUUCUGUGCUGUUCUUCGUGCAUUGCGCUGAAAUAUUUUGUUAGAUAGGCGAGAAGCGUUUGUUGUUACCAGGUCUACCCAAAUCUGUAGAAAUUUAUACAACACUCUGUUCAAAAAAGUAAACUUGCUUCGAGAAGCAUUGUUUCAACGUAGAAGAUUGUCACAAAAAUGUACGUACGUCGUACGUUUCUAAAACUAAACAGCGUACAGCAAGAUUACUCGUCGCGCUUGCAACAGGCCAACCUCUGUACAAUAUACAACUUGUCAUUUGAUGUAUAUCAAAUUAUUAAACAUUCGAUUUAGAGGAAUGGAACCUACGGAUAAUUCCAACUAAUGAGAAGACGUAGGUAGUUAUUACCAUAACUCGUUCGUGCUAGAUAUCCUGCACAAAGUAUAUUUCAUCUGAAACGUUAUCCAUCGAACACGAUGUCGAAACAACAUCGGAAAAUUAUUUCAUUCGCUUAGAACGAUACGCCUAUAGGCAGAUACACAGAUACUUGCGAAUACGAUGCAGCAAAUGUAUUUCAAAUCGUACGACGUUGCAUUUGAUCGACCACGAAGACGACCGCCGUGCAAUGGGAGAUGUACAAUUUAUUAAACGGUUUGAGAAAGGCCGUGAUUUUUAACGCGCGUUAUUCGCAAGACAGCGACGCUUGCAGUCGUAUUCCCAGCACGUUAGCGUCGAAAGUUGUUUCAGAUUGAAGCGCCGGCUUGGCCAGCUUUAUUUACAGCGCGACCGGCCACGAGCAGGUUAAUAUUGUAAAUGUAAUCUCGCGGAAUCCAAAGAGAGACGCGAAGCGGUCCGUGGCGAUCUCGUAAUGGCGGGAUUUCCGUUCUACAAUUUCCACUCGGGGGAAUGGGGCUACAUCUUGUCGGGGCGACGCUGAUUGGAUAUAAAAUUUCAUUUUGCCCCGGCACACCUAAAUCCACCGGUAACUCUCGAUGCUCGCGAUUCCGCUUUCAAUAAAAGUCCCUUUAUCUCCUUAAUUGCUAUCAUCCUCGUGCAAUUCUCUCGGAAUCGCGGCAGAUUUAAAAAAAAGAGGAGGAACGACGUUGAAAAAUGAAUGAAAAAUCAUCGUUGGACCUGCUUCCAUUCCAUUGCGAAAACCUAAUCGAACGAACAGUAUCUCGAUGGAAAAUCGUUUUACCUAGCGGGAAUCGUAAGAAGGCUGUUUCGGAUUGGUCUUCGAUGCAGCAAAAUCUGAGACGACGAUAAAAUAAAUCGCUGCGAACGUCUGAAUAUUAUCGAGAAGCGCGCGCGGCCAGUUUUCGUGCUCUCGUUUGUCAACGCGAUUUAUCAAAGUUUGUCGGAAUUGACGGUCGUUGCGAGCUAACAAGCUAAUCGAAAUAGCCGGUCGAAAUUUUACCUACAUCUAUGCGACACAAUCAGAAGUUGGUUCACGAGAUAUAACGCGGAAGUCGAAGCAUGGAGCUAGCGGUGCAGUUGCCAGUCGGGACGCGGUCGAAUACGCCGGCGGAAUAAAGGCGCCGGUAUAAAAGGAAACGCGGAGUCGUCGUUUCUCAGCGUGCAGCGCUGUUAAACCUCGUGUCUGUGCAACCGUAUGCAGAGCAAACUCUUUGCGUGUCUCCGGAUUGAACGUAUAUACCGCAAGGUAAAGCUAUCCAUUCGGCUAUCCUGCUGUAAUGCGAAAAAUCAAUAUCGCAUUAGUUGACGGCGAAUGUCAGCGACGAAAUUAUGAAAUGUCAGUUUACGAAAUUGGAGAAUUUUGCUGGGGAAAUUCCUAUUGUUACGAAUAAACGUUUGAACGCGUACGUUUCCCUUAUUUUUAACCUACACGUUGUUAUAUUCUGUCGAAGAAAUUAAUCGCAACAUGCAGCAGCGGGAUACAAUGGUCAAGACGACGAAGAUUUUCACGCGGAUAGGAAAUCGUAGAAAGUACGCGACUUCGCAAUUGAAUUCUAGGAUUAUAUCGGCUAUCGUAAUAUGAAGCUACUCGCGUACACUUGCGGAACUUUGAUGAAUCUGCUAAACGAGUUCUCUUAAAUCUGCAAGUUUCUUCAAAAUGAUAAUCUACGAGCAACUAUGGAUGUUUUAACAGAGUCCAAAUAGCGGCCAAUUUGCCUCUGACUCGAAGUACGAAAUUAAAUCAUUUCAAUAGCUGUUCUCUAAACGAUAUUGAGAAAUUGACGGUGAAUAUGAAAAGACUGGGAGGUAAAGGAGUAUCGUCGCUGGCCGAUCUCCGCUCUUUUAUUGUUAGCAAACGGUUGCCGUUAGUUGUAACGUUAAACUUUUCACCUAAUACAGCUUAAUAAGGAUCCAAUUAGUAAGAAGCACGCGUAAAAAGCCGAGCGAACUUGGUUGCAGCGAAGGGAACGCAGAGUCGUGUAAUCGUAGAACAAACACCUGUGUAGGAGCAGAACGACAAGACCAAGAAUUAACCUACCUGCACAGCCGUAGGGAUGUCCUUGCUUUAAUUGCAAGUAUGCCCAGGUUACCGCCAUUAUGUCUCGAAGUGCUGAACACGGCUGGCAUCCUCUCUGUGCCUGCAAGUAAUUUACUUGUAAACUAGUUGAGACGUUUUGCUCGCCAUACGAUCGAGCAGGAAGCUCCGUGCGAUAGAAUCCGAAGGUAAUUCGAAGCUAAGGACACGAGGUCUCUCCGUCGUCAACUGGCUCUUCUUCUUUUGACAAGAAAUCGAAUCGCAGCAUCGUUCGCGCGUUGGAGCAGAUCAGAAGACGAAGCAAAAUUACCUUAUCCAUAGGAAUCAAUCAACAGCGUCGGCAAAGAAAAAUUAUUAACGCAGACCUCGCUGCUAUCUCGAGUAUAGCGACGUACCAAGCGCGAAGAGGAUCUCGUAUCUACCGCCACGCCACUGUAGAUAAUUCGAUCAACCUGGAAACCAGUGUACGCGAUGCAUUUAUCAACAACGAAAACCUCAAAGCGAUAUGCUUAGACAUGGAGAAAGCGCACGAUAUAGUUCGGCGUACCAGAGUAAUCGCAGUAACUGACAACCCAUUGCAUCUCAUACGGAAUUUCCUAACAGAAGAAGGAGCGAAGGUUAGAGAGAAGAAUAUGCUGUGCAUUUGCCCGGAAAUAGAAAAUCAUAUUGCUCGAGAUUCGGUCAUUAGCGUGACGUCUUUUCUUCGAGAGAAAUUAAUGAUACUUGCAAGUAGAUCGGAGAUAUUUCGCAGUUAUUGCCAUCUUCUCGUCAGUGUCAGACACGCUGCCGCACUUUCAUCUACACUCGGUGCCUCAAUCUGAAGAAGGUUAAGCGUAACGCACGAGCUGCUACUUUCUCAUCUUCGCGCUCAUCUUUCUCAACCUUCUUAGCGCGUUUUCGCUAGACGUCGGAACGACACUUUUUCUUCCUGAAGAGAUGGUUCUCGAACAACGUUCCGUAAGGAUUUCUCCGUGCAAAAAUGCCAGCUUCUCGACAUCCUUCUCUGUCUGAUCCAAAUGGCAAGUCAACGAAAGCACGCACGCAUCCCCCCGGUCUAAUCGAAUACAAUUGGACACCGGACGAGGCAUCGUCGAACGAAGGUUUAUUUUACGAAAUUAGCCAAACAACGCAAGCCAUAGCGCGGUAAACCUGUCCGUAAGAGUAACUUUGAUAGUUCGUUGACCCCCGGGCUCGCGUUUCCCCGCGGUGAACCACAAUACGCCAGCUGGCUAACCUUGGUUGAGCCAAUAUUAAUUUCAUUAAUUAUGCGCCACCGUAUUACGAUAUUAGCGCCGGCACGGCCAUUCCGCUAUGCGGCAUAAUUUCCCCGGGAACCGCACUAAUUAUCGCGGCAAGCCUUCUUCGAGUACGACGAUCUGGUUCGAGGUCGUUCUUACUGGUUCCGAACGUGGGCGAACGAAAGUACCGCGCCGUAUCGAAAGUUGCUGAUAUUAAUUAGAUGAAAUUGCAGUGAAGGAGGAAAUCCCAUUUCUAAAAGAGGCGGUUCCUGUAAAUGUUGGGGUACGGAGAUGAUCGGUGUGUACGAUACGCGAGUUUCCGUCGCAUAACACGGUAUUUUUGCGACAGGGCCUGGCCUUAUCGCGCUUUGAAAAUUUUGCAAACCGUGGCGCGACGCGAUUUCUCUUUCCACGAUGGGAAAAUGCAACCGAAAAACGAAAAGUAUGAAAAACGAAAGUGUGUGUAUUCGUGGGAGACGUGCGAAUUGGAAAGAAAAGUCAAUGUCCCAUUGGUCUAGAUGGUUUCAGACAAAAGCCAAAAAUGCUGUUAACUAAUUGCGUGUUAAUGAUUAAAUUAUUACAUGCGAUUGCAAUAAUUGAACAGACGAGAAUGUUGAAACGCAAGCACGUCAUUCUUAGUUCAGCAAGCGCGAUCUGUCGUCUUAGAUUAACGUAUGAAAUUUUGAUAUACCGAAAUUUGUGAUCUAUUGGUAUUUGUAUUCUCUUGCCUCCUAUUCCUUUGCUUCCUCCUCCAACUUUGUUGCUCUUUUCCCUGUCCUAGUUCUUAUCUUGUCUCGUUUCGUCUCUCCUAGCCCCGUGUUACUCCCGUGUACAGCUGUCCAGACCUAAUACCCACCUUAUGUAUGUUAUCUGUAUCUUUUCCACUUGCCAUCUCUCUUCUUAAUCCCAUCCCUCAUACUCAUACGCCAGUACGUUCAACACUGACACGCGAAACAUGUACAUUCUCAACUUUAAAUCGCUCUUAAAUUUCCUCCAUCCUAUGCCCGAAACCUGGUUUAAUCUAAGUUAAAACCUUUCUUAAGUUUCCUCUCCCUUAUGGCUCGAAUCUGGCUUAACUCGACUGAAAAUCAUUUCUAAGUCGUCUCUGUUCUAUGCUGCAACAAACGUCGCUUAACUCGAUUGAAAUUAUUCUUCAAUUUUCUCUGUACAAUGCCUGAAACCCGAUUCAACGAAACUUUCGCUGGCCUCUCUGUGGCAAUUGUUCAUUUCUUGCCUGCUGUCCUUCUACGCGUAUAUUACAACAGCUCACUGUACUUUAACGUUGCAUCGUAUUGCUCCAGAAAUCCAUAUCAAUUAAUAGUUUGGCUGUUUAAUGCGAUAAAUCUACCGCAUAACGUUAUGGCGUUUGAUAUCAUCUCUUUGAAGUUGCAUACAAAUUGUAGCAGACACUUUGCGUAAAGUUGCUUACGCGGCGAAGGCAAAGCAACUUUGUAGAGUCUCGUUGUCAGUUAAGUUGUUGAAAUAUGCAAUUAAGCGUCUCUUAACGAGCCGUAAUACAGGUUACUAGCCGUAAAUCGGCUACUAUUAAUUUUCUGUUAAUUGUUGCACAUUACUGUAUUAACCCAUUAAUUUUCACGCGAUAGCAGCCGCGCUGCAUCUACGUAAAUUGCUGUCAGUUAUUAAAAUACAGAAACGAGAAGAAAGGGAUAGAGGGCUUUUAGGUGAAAAGAGAGCGAGCCUGAUCCGCUUCGUUAUAACGAACAACGCGUAACUCGUGCAUAAUUCGAGCCUUUAAAUUUAUGUAUUUUCCUGGAUAAACGUAUCAAAAUUAGCAUCCAAGCUACGACAUACUGCAACUUGCGAUUAAUCGUUUGUAAGGAAUACAGCAACAGGGCAAGGAUAAUCCUCUAUGUCCGUGUGAUUUAUCGUCGUGGCUACUUUUCUGUUUAUUUCUUGCAACACUCUGAUCUCGCCUUUUCCGAUCUACAAAUCGCUGGAGCUGAUCGUUCGUGUCUAAGAAAAAAGUCAAACGACUACGUAAAUAUUGGAUCAUUAAAAUAAUGUUGGAAAACGAACGAUUAAGUCGAUAAGGAACUCGACAAAUUAACGUAGGUGUUUUAUUUUUGUAUAACACGCGACCGUGUGCGAGCAUAACACAUGGACGUUUCGCCUACUAUGAAUCUAUUUUACAUAAAAUUAUCAACAGCACUUGAUGAUCCAGCAAAGUUCGAUUAAUUUUCCAUUCAAAAUUGGUCUGUAAAAUAGCGAAUAUUUGAAAUUAGAAGCGCCAAUCAGAUACGGAUUAAUGCUAAAAUAAUUUGUUAAUACAAUUAGUCCAAUUAUCAAGCGCUGCUUUCCAACGUAAUUAUUUCCUUUCCAAUUAGGGCACAGUGUAUCCGUCCUAGUUAUUACGUAAUUAUAGCUAUACUUUUUUCUUCAAUGAGACGUAAAAAUUCGUUAAUUUACCCAGCUAAUUAUUCCUCGCUAUAAUAUACAGAAGUAGAUAAAAUGCAAAAGUGUCGUUUAAUCGAUCGCCGAUUAACGAUACUGCGACGGCAAGCUGGAAAAGUUUCAGUCUACUUUCUCGUUAGACCUUGUCCGAAGAUCCAUAAUUCUUCAUAUCCAAAAAUGUCGAAUAAAUAACAUCAAACACAUUAUCCUCUCGCGAAGAUCGGGAAAACUCGAUUAAGUUGGAGCCAACCGUAAAUCCAUGGCUGCGUUAAGCAUCGCGAUAUAACCGAGGACAUUAUCCCAUGCUUAAUACCACAGAAGGAAUUACUUACUCUGGUAUGCACGGCUUAAAAUUACGAGCUGAGCCGUGCCUGUGUCGGCGGUUUCGUUGUGCUCGCGGUAAACCAGGGAGGAGAGAUCUCGUCAGGUUAUUGAGCGUAUUUUAUUGGGAAAAGACGAUGUCAAAAAAUGGCCACUUUCGCGCCUGCUUGCGGACGAAAAAUUCCCACAGCAGGUUACCUAACGAAUUAUCAGAGAAAUCCGAGUUUUAUGUCUAAGGAAAAUAACGAUAUAAAACGGAGAACAAACGUUUGUUUAAAUGGUCCACGAUAUCGAGCGUACGAAUGAUUUACAAUUCUUAGUCGUGAAAAGUUGUAGCAAGUUUCCAAUGGUGUUUCGCUUUCCUUCUUUCUCUGUUCGUGCUUUAAUAAGAAGUUAUAAUCUGAUUUUGCCCAGAGAAGGAAAUAAUUAUUACUGUCCAGCUCGUGUUUAGGUUUCCCUCUUCUUUUUCUAUUCGCGCUCUAAUAAAAACUUAUAAUCUAAUUUUCCUCGCAAGAGGAAAUAAUUAGUAUUGUCUGGUCGAUGUUUAGCCCCCUUUCUUUCUCAUAUUCCUGCUCUAACCUGAACUUAUAAUCUGAUUUUUCGCCAAACAGCAGAUGAUCAGUAUCGUCCGGCUGGUAUUCAGGUUUCCUUCUUUUUCCUGUUCCUGUUCUAAUAAGUAUUCAUAAACUGAUUUGCCCAGCAACAGCAAACGAUCAUUAUCUGGCUGAUCCUCGCGUUUCUUUCGUUUUCCACGCACGCUCUAAUGAUAAACUGUCUGGCGAUUAAUAUCUCGAAAUUUAUUACACAGGCGAGCGCCGGAGGCAGUGAAUUUGAAAAACUCGCGGAGCUGUUACAAAUAAUGUAACAAAUCCUUCUGCAAUUCGUCCGAACUGUCCGUUUGUUUGCACCCUUUUAAAUCACGCGGAUGAAAGCCGCGCGUGAACGCAUCGGCUGCGUACGAAAAGCCGUCAAAGGGAUUUCGAAAAGCGAUUGCUAUUUCUAUCGAUGUCUGUCAUUCGUUUGAAGCCUCAAACGAAUUGUUGCCAGCGUUUCGCUCGCGGUAAGUCGAUACGUUUAACUAGAAAUCCGACGUGUAGGCUAACAGAGACGUUCAAUCUUUGGUCUCUGUGCUGACGUUGGCGUAUUCAAACAUAAAGCAGAGACUGGGCUGGCCGGCGGGCGAAAAACUGUUUUCUCAACAACUUAAAUCCACUCGGACAGGAUCCACGCCCCUGUCGAAAACUUUCCUGCGUUUUACGUUUGCUCGAUAAACACGCCGUCCCGGCUAUCUGCACUUUAUUGCUUAUACCGGAGAACACUUUCGCAAACAGCAAUCCAUCUAAAUAAUUUGCGGCCAAAAUACAGACACGUACGCGAAACGUGGCAAGGUGGUGCGUUUUACUGGCUCAAGAAAUAAAACAAAUGAAAUUGGCCGACACUAUCGUACCGAUAGUGAUCAAAGUUUCACACAUCCCGUACCGCGGCAGAAUUGAAUGUGUCGACGAAACUGACGACUGACUGACAAAGGCGACGGCAAAGGCAAGUUGAACAAAGUAAAACAGAAUAGGAUAAAAUAAACGGAAAAAACGAACGACUUCCUACAGCUAGUCGAAGCUUUUCCCGUCGAUCGACAAUCCUAUAGCGAGUAGCAGUUUAUGCAUUUUGGCUGAUCAGCCCAGAAAUUCGACUUGGUUAGGUGGACUGCAGAAUACGUACAUUGUCUUUAUCGUGCGAACCUGGCUCACCGUAAACGCCGGAGAUCACAUUUUUUAGGUCAGCGAAGAAGCUUCUGAUUCAACGUUAAUUCGCACAUAAAGUUAGGUGAACAAAAGAAACGACCCCUUACUUGGCCGGUCCAGGUAAGGUUAGCGUUAAGGAAUAUCAGCGGUAUUAGUCACGCGUAUCCCUAGACCAGAUUUCCCAUCGAACCAUAAGACUAAUAGACUGGCAGCUGAACCGCGAUAAAAUCGAACAGUCUCGCAUCGUCCAUUUCCCCGGCCGGGAAAUGCCACGUUCUCCCUUGGUUCGCAUCCAUCAUUCUCCGGUGUUUACCUAUCUGCCUAUAUCAGCAUUUCCCCGAGCCCAUUUUUACCACGUUGCGCUCUCAGGCGAAACGCGCUGCCUUCAAAACGGCUCUUGUUCGGUCGUUGGCGUUUCCAACUUGCCUCGAAAAUAUUAUCUUUAACGUAGCGGCUGACGAGGACACGGCGUUGUCGAUAUCACAGAACCAGGAGACUGCGAAAACAUUGUUCGAUGUUCUUCCAUACUCUGGCACAUGUUCAACCGGCACCGUCACCACCACCACCACCAACUCGUUCUCGCCCUGUUAAUCCACCUUUUUUUUCAUUUCUCCUUCUUUUUUUCAACCAGCCUUUUUUUCGAUACGAUCGCCACCGUAAUUACCAUUAAUGGUAAUUACCUGGAAGAUAAUUUCCAACGAGCGCAAUUACAUUUCUAUCGGACAGAGUGCAUCGAUUAUCGGCCAGCGAAUAUUAUGCUGAAUAUUCGGAUUUUACGGAGCCGCGGCGAAGGAAUUUGAUAUCAGACGAAAGCAAUCGAAAAGGGUGGAAUGUAUAUAAUUGGAAUAUUUUUGUUUCAAUGAGAUGGCGAUGGUCCCCUCUGUUAUUUCGCCAAUGGCUCGCCCCCGUUGCGGUGAAAUGUAAUUUUCUGCGGUUUUCGGACUAGAUACACUCCGAACGAAGGUAAAAAAAAUAAAAAAUUUCGCUUUGAGAUAUAAAUUUACAAGAGUCGUGUUUUAGCUUCUAAUUUGACGCGUAGAGCAAAAAUUGUGGAAGAACCAAUUGGUAGAAAUUGGCGUUAAAAGCGACUGACACUUUCCCCUGGUCCGCUUUUGAAAUAUUUUCCAGUCCAUCGUUUCAAAAUUACGAAUUGUUGGAAGGUAUUUUUGUAGUAAUUUCACGUAGAUGAAAAAUUGUUGGGGAACUAUUUAGUAAACAUUGGUUUUAAAGAAUGAUAAUCCUUUCUUCUGACUCGCUUUUUAAAUACUUUUCAAGGCUUCGUAGGAUGUCCGUGUUCUCGAAAUUUGCGAAUUACUCGAAUAUAUACUUUUGUCACGUUGUUAAUUCUGUCUAAUAGUGAAAUUAAAUCCGGCAAGUGUUGAUUUUAAGCCUAAACCAGCCACGUUCUUUCGCGUCUUGUCGAUACGAUUAACCGCGCGCUUCUCGUCAAACAGAAUCGAAAGGUGCAGAGUUUUGUUGUACGCAGAAAACAAAAGGGAAAGUUCAAACAGUUUAAUUCGGUUCAAUGGUAAAGUAAAAUCUGCCGUGGCUUGAAUUCAAACUUGAAAUAAUAAUUAAUGGUGCUGACCAUACAGAGUCAUCAGUUCCCUUUCUGCGUGCUUCCUUUCACGCGGACUUGCGAGAUUUAUGUAGAUUCAUUAAUCAAGCCAUUCACUAUUCUCGCUGAAUUAAAAUAUGUAAUAAGGGAAAUGAUUUAUCUGAGUAGCAGGUUUUGCAACAACAAUUAAAAGCUCGCAGCGCCGAGAGAAAGCAACUUCUUUAUAAACAUUAACGACAUGAUUAACGAACAAAGGGAGAAUAUUCCUCCUUUUGCAAGAAUAUUUCUUUCUUUCACGGACCCUGUAUACGUUUUCUCGAGGAUACUUUACAGAGCAGAGAGAAUAAAAAAUAAUUGGUUAUUUGCUAUCAAUCGGUAAUUUGCUAUUCCCGCGCAAAUAAAAAUUAAUUCGCGUAAUAUGCGAAUAUACGCGUUGAGUUCUCGUUGGAAUUGCAUUCUUCUUUCAGUUCGUUAGUAGCUGCACCGAAAGAUGGUGUUUUCAUUCCGCUUUUACAUCGCCAAUUCGUUUACUCCAUUUCGCGUUCCUCACGCCUCCGUUAUCAAGCGCAUAGAAUAUACGUUAUAAUGUAACGUAGCAUAUCCCAGCAUGCUCGUUCAGCCUUCCACUCGCAUCGUUUUCGUUUAAUUUACACAUUGUUGCGAUGUUUAACCCGCGAGAAUGACUGUACGGGAAUAUAAAUUUAUAAGAUUAUAAAAUACGUGGCCGUAGAAAUCGGAAUACAAAUCGUAAACUGUGCGCGGUAAUACGCAACGCUGUGCAGAAUUUUCGUUCGUAAGAUUGGCAUUUUCUCACUUUCUAAUUAUCCCAUUUUCUUGCGAUACGUCGCGACCGAAACGAAUGUGUAGCAGGCCUUUCAGUAUCGCGAGAUUUGAAACGAAAGACGAGCGCGUUGCUAAACGAAACAACGAAAACGGAAAUGGCGAAAUAGAAAGCAGUUCUCGCCGAAAUCCCGCAUUUAUUAAUUAAAAAACAAUCGUUGUUUCGUCAUGUAACCUUACAAAAUUCACUUUAGUUACUCAAAAUUGCACGUCGCGAAUAGACAAAACUGUGAAUCUUUGCACCCGAAAAUCGGAAAGAAUAUUUCAACCCAUCGAAUCGUACGAAGUACGCGCUUGCGACGCACGCUGUAUGAUGUCUAACUCUAAGGGACGAUCAGAGGAAGCAUCCAAGUCAAAAAAUUGUGGGUACAAGUACUGCUGAAAGAAGCAGAAGAUUGGACGUUGGUCUGCGUUGAAGAAAACGCUUCUGGGUGGCGGAGAUAAUCUUGCGUCGAGCUGAAACAACACCUUUCUUCUUCCUCUCUUCAUCUCUCGUUGCAAGACGUCGGUGAAAAAUGCCUGUCAUCAUAGGAUGCACGAAAGAGAACAAUUGCAAAAAGCUUGCAUUUUUAAAAGCCAAGAUGCUUGAACAAGCUCGGGCCGCAGAGAAGAGCAAGAGCAACGAGGUGGGUGCUAGCUCGGAGAAACCCAUGGAAACGCCCGUACGUUCGACCGACACCGAGUUGAACCGCGAGCCAAGAAUCGUGGAACAGCUGGAGGACGAAGAAGUCGAGCAAGGACCGAUAGAAGGAACCGAGGUUCCAGCUGAACUUCGCGAAACAGCUGGCCAAGCUGAAGCAACAAAUAACGAAGACCCAACUGACGCCUAGGGCAUUUGAAAAUUCAUCAGCACCAGCCAAGAAUAUUAUCGAAUAAAGGAGCGAAGAACUUGACCACGGAGCAGAAAUCUUGGCAACGGACGCUCCUGAUUUACUGACAGUUAGAAAGCCAGCCGCCGGGAAACGCGCGACAGCCUCCGAGGAAGACUCGUUUAGCCGCGUAAUCACCGGAGGCGGAUUAAUUCGCCGACAUCGAGGAGCUGUGCAAGCUCGCGAGGCUCGGCCGUGCAACGAGAGGAAAACGAGAGGCAAGAAAUCAAGGGAACCUUUUGUGCUUAACGACAGCCAGAGCCCGGCGGAGUCCUUGGGUAAAUUUGCCGACUCGUCCGCUAACUAAGGACGUCCCAACUGACGAUUUCAGCUCGGCUAUCCGACUAGAAAAGAGGUCGCGCGGUGGUUGUUCGGCGCCGUGGACGAGAUCAAGUUCCGUUGGUUCUUUGCCCGGUCAUGUUGUAUCGUCGUGGCUCGCUCAGAAUCGAAAUCGAAUUAACGCGACCGAGGAAUUGAAACGAGACGAUCCGAAGCAGCUUAGAGUCGUUGGAUGUUUCUCGGAGAUCGGAAAAUUGGUUCGUCCGAGGAUAUGGAGAGUGAACCUAACGGGCGACAGGAAAUAGAAGAAAUUAAAGAGGCCGACGAGGUUGCAGAAGAGGCCGAGGGAGAGGAAGGUACCGAAGAGAAGACAACGAAAGCAGGAACUUUGGACGAAACCGCAGAGAGGAAGCCGUUGAAGCAGGAUGAAUCGGUGCAGUUAUCGAUAAACGAAGAAUGCCCGUCUCAAGAGUGGGACGAACACGCGAAAGAAAGAUUCGACACGGCCGUCUUCACUUUGGGCACGUGCGCUGCGGUUUUCGCUGUCUACAUUUACAUCGUGUACAGUUUGAGCAGUCCACCGACCGUGUUGCAUCGAGUCUAACAGCGGUUCCCUAAUCAAACGAUCGAAAGACCGUGCAAGUCGAACGCCAGAGUCCACUGUUUGCGACAGCUGUGUACAAAAGCAGUGUAUCCGAAACGUAAAAUAUACCGAGCAGAAGAUGAAUUUCAGCGCAAUGUUUUCUUUAACACAGAGACUCGCUGACGGAGAGACUUUAACAAGCUCUUCGAGGAACGAAUCGUACAUUUUACGUAUUUACAUAUUUCAUUACAAAUUAUAUACGAUACUUUGGAAUUUCAUUAGCACUUGAACUCCACUUGACUAUCGUUGUUACGUUAAUAACGGCUGAAACGAACCUGAGAACGUAUGUAGAAAUUUCCAGAUACUACUCGAUAUUGCAAAGAUCGUCAGGAUAUUGGCAAGACCAAUUAUUGACUAUAUUAAUAAAUCUCGAUAUCUAGUCGGGCCAUUUUUACCACUAGCUGCGUCUUUGAAACCGCUCCUCAUCUUGCAUACUAAUUUUAACAAUGACGUUGAAUGUACGUUCACGAUGAACGUCUUGCAACUUGCUCGUAGACUUUUGGGUCGAUCUGGAAUUUCGCUAUUGCAAUUAGGAUAUUGUCGUGUCUUCGUUACACAGCUAACCAAGUUCCACAAAGUUUCGUUCGAUGCACGUAAUAUAUUCAUGAAAAAACGUUAAGGUACUCGAGGACUGUUGUCGCGAUUGUAUCGAUAAAGUUUGAAAAGGAUCCGAGGGUGUAUGCAUGUAGAGACGAGGAGAUAUUUAUUGGAAACUAUUUCGCCAAGACCGCCAAUUUGAAAGAUCAAUUAUUCGCGAUAUCACUAUGCCAGAAUAUUCAGCGUGAUCGUGUAUAACGGUAAUUUUACGAUGCAGACUACUCUGUUAACGCCCUAUGCUAAUUUUUCACCGAAUUUAUGUUUUCAAGGAAUAUCUUGCAGCUUCUAUACGCAUCUUCGGCUUAGUUUCGAAAUUUACCAGCAGAAUCGGGACAAUCCUGUCUCGUUACGGUAUUAACGAAGUUUCAAAAAGUUUGGUACAAUGUGCGUAGUAUGUUCAUAAAAAAAAAUUCUAUAUUAAAGUGUUUGAGUGCUUUUGCGA
rnacentral:lncRNA from 11 species